UGGGGAAUCUUCCGCAAUGGGCGCAAGCCUGACGGAGCAACGCCGCGUGAGUGAAGAAGGGUUUCGACUCGUAAAGCUCUGUUGUCGGGGACGAAUGUGGAGAUGGUGAAUAACCAUUUCUAAUGACGGUACCUGACUAAGAAGCCCCGGCUAACUACGUGCCAGCAGCCGCGGUAAUACGUAGGGGGCAAGCGUUAUCCGGAUUUACUGGGUGUAAAGGGAGCGUAGACGGCAAUGCAAGUCUGAAGUGAAAGGACGGGGCUUAACCCUGUGACUGCUUUGGAAACUGUGUAGCUUGAGUGCCGGAGGGGUAAGCGGAAUUCCUAGUGUAGCGGUGAAAUGCGUAGAUAUUAGGAGGAACACCAGUGGCGAAGGCGGCUUACUGGACGGUAACUGACGUUGAGGCUCGAAAGCGUGGGGAGCAAACAGGAUUAGAUACCCUGGUAGU
rnacentral:rRNA from 1 species